UUAUGGAGAGGAGGAGAGCGGUGGUUCAUCACCGCCGAGGAGGCCUGGGUUUGGAAGGCCUGGUGGUUAUGGAGAGGAGGAGACUGAGGAGAAGCCUAGUUAUGGGAGGAGUGAGUAUCAGGAGCCGCCGAGGAGGCCGAGUAGCUAUGAGACGCCAGAGACUGAGGAGUAUGGGAGGCCUAAAUAUGGCAGGCCUGGCUAUGAGACACCUGAGACUGAGGAGUUCGGGAGGCCGAGUUAUGGAAGAGGUGAGGAGCAGGAGUACCGCAAGCCUAAGCCUAGCUAUGGGCGUGGCAGUGAUGAUGAGGAUUCUGAGCGCCGUCAUCAGAGGCGUGGCAGUGAUGAUGAGGAUUCUGAGCGUCGUCAUCAGAGGCGUGGUAGUGAUGAUGAGGACUCUGAGCAUCGUCGGGGACAUGGUGGAGAGGGCUAUGGCCGCAAGAAAUAUGUGAGAAUCUCAGACUUUAAAUGUCCUUUACAGUUUUUGCGCCUUCAUAAUGUUUGUGUUGUUAGUGUUUUGCUUUGCACAUUAGUGUCUGCAUUUCCUGUUCUUGAUGAGUUUCCUUAGAUAACUUCUGGAGUAUUGGGGUGUUGAGGCGUAGAGUUAGCUCAUCAGGAAAUAGCUUGUUAACAGUGAAUUAUGUACUUAGUAGUAUAGUACAUUUGCAACGUCUUAUAUAUAGACUAAUGUAGCAGUUUACAUCAGCGACAUGUUGCCUUAUAUGAUUCAGUUGAAGAUUGUAUAUGACUUUAUGAAGGAAUUAGACCUUAGAGUUUGGUCAAUGCACGUGAGUUGAAUUAUGAUGGUUUGAUCAUCAAUUGAUGCGAUUUUCUGUCAGACACAUUUUCCUUUCCCUUGAGGUUUCUUGUUCCUCUGUUCUUUUUACUAGUUGAACUUGAUAAUAGCUGUAGGCAGUUCCAAGGAACAUUUUGUUCUCAAUCGUGUCUCAACAAGCUUUAAAAUGACUAUUGGUCUGUUAUGUUUCUAUGUCCUGAACAACUUUAUUGUCUGGAUUCUUUGGAUAAAUUAUUCUUGAAAACCAUCGAGUCUGUUGCAAAUCCUCUUGGCUGCAGAAUCUAAUAGAUGUAUACAGAUAAACGCAGAAUGUUAGUUGGGUUUCUGGUAGAACAAAUGGAAAUGUCCGCUCUUUCCUUUUCCUUCAUUGUAGUUCUUUUCUCUUAUUUUGAUCUCAUUUUUUGUUUAUGGCAGGGAAAUGACGACUCAGAUGAUGAUGAAGAGAAAAAGGAACGUCGCCACCACCAUCGUAAGAGCUAUGAUGAUGAAUGAUCAGAAUACUGAUCAUCUUAUUGAUG
rnacentral:lncRNA from 1 species